AGCUCUGUAAGCGUAUACCAAAGUUGUUGCAGUUAAAACGCUCGUAGUCGAACCCAGGUAUUUUGUAUCGAUCACCCUAACGGGUGGUAUGGUAUAAAAGACCUUUUGCGGAUUGUGGAGGUUGGUGGUGCUUUGCUGCCUCGCCAACCGACCUGCCGCUUUUUACUGUGAAAAAAUUAAGGUGUUCAAAGCAAGCGUUUGCCUGAAUAUAUUAGCAUGGAAUAAUAGAAUAGGACCUGGUCCUUUUCUGUUGGUUUGUAAGUAUCAGGUAAUGAUUAACAGGGACGGUCGGGGGCAUUUGUAUUCCGUGGCGAGAGGUGAAAUUCUUAGACCCUCGGAAGACAUACAGCAGCGAAAGCGUCUGCCAAGGACGUUUUCA
rnacentral:rRNA from 1 species